rnacentral:rRNA from 1 species
GACGAACGCUGGCGGCGUGCUUAACACAUGCAAGUCGAACGGUGAAGCUCCAGCUUGCUGGAGUGGAUCAGUGGCGAACGGGUGAGUAACACGUGAGCAACCUGCCCCAGACUCUGGAAUAAGCGCUGGAAACGGCGUCUAAUACUGGAUACGAGAUCAAGCCGCAUGGUUAUGGUCUGGAAAGUUUUUCGGUUUGGGAUGGGCUCGCGGCCUAUCAGCUUGUUGGUGAGGUAAUGGCUCACCAAGGCGACGACGGGCAGCCUGCCUGAGAGGGCGACCGGCCACACUGGGACUGAGACACGGCCCAGACUCCUACGGGAGGCAGCAGUGGGGAAUAUUGCACAAUGGGCGAAAGCCUGAUGCAGCGACGCCGCGUGAGGGAUGACGGCCUUCGGGUUGUAAACCUCUUUCAGCAGGGAAGAAGCGAAAGUGACGGUACCUGCAGAAGAAGCACCGGCUAACUACGUGCCAGCCGCCGCCGUAACAC